GCCUGGGUGGUGGAAUGGCAGACACAGGGGACUUAAAAUCCCCUGCUCGAAAGAGCGUGCGGGUUCGACUCCCGCCCCGGGCACCA
rnacentral:tRNA from 1 species